rnacentral:rRNA from 1 species
UACGUAGGGGGCAAGCGUUGUCCGGAAUCAUUGGGCGUAAAGAGCGCGUGUAGGCGGCCCGGUAAGUCCGCUGUGAAAGUCGGGGGCUCAACCCUCGAAUGCCGGUGGAUACUGUCGGGCUCGAGUACGGGAGAGGCGAGUGGAAUUCCUGGUGUAGCGGUGAAAUGCGCAGAUAUCAGGAGGAACACCGAUUGCGAAGGCAGCUCGCUGGAACGUUACUGACGCUGAGACGCGAAAGCGUGGGGAGCAAACAGG